rnacentral:rRNA from 1 species
GGAGUUAGCCGGUGCUUCUUCUGUGAGUGAUGUCCUUCCUGCCGGCUAUUAACCCGCAGGCCUUCUUCCUCACUGAAAGUGCUUUACAACCCGAAGGCCUUCUUCACACACGCGGCAUGGCUGGAUCAGGGUUGCCCCCAUUGUCCAAUAUUCCCCACUGCUGCCUCCCGUAGGAGUCUGGGCCGUGUCUCAGUCCCAGUGUGGCUGAUCAUCCUCUCAGACCAGCUACGGAUCGUCGCCUUGGUGAGCCGUUACCUCACCAACCAGCUAAUCCGACAUAGGCUCAUCCGAUAGCGCGAGGCCCGAAGGUCCCCCGCUUUCCCCCGUAGGGCGUAUGCGGUAUUAGCCUGGGUUUCCCCCAGGUUAUCCCCCACUACCGGGCAGAUUCCUAUGCAUUACUCACCCGUCCGCCGCUCGCCACCAGGGAGCAAGCUCCCCGUGCUGCCGCUCGACUUGCAUGUGUUAGGCCUGCCGCCACGCGUCAUCUGAGCAGAUACAACCUACNCGACGNGCGGCGGCGCGACGACGCG